rnacentral:rRNA from 1 species
CUGUUCUAUAUUUGAACUCUGAAGCUAAAUAGGGUGAGGCCUGGUUUGUACUGGGAUGGGAGACAGCAUGAGAGUACCAGGU